rnacentral:lncRNA from 1 species
UGGACAAACACUGUCUGCCUCUCUCGAGGAGAAAACCAUCCCACCACAGAGAAGAAAAGCAAGCGUCCGAGAAGGGGAGCGUCUCAGUCCAUUCGAGCUGCUGUAACAGAGCACCAGAGGCUGGGGCUUCUACGCAGCAGAAGUUUAUUUCUCACCGCUCUGGAGGCUGGAAGUCCAAGAUCAAGGCAUCGGCAGAUUCGGCGUCUGUCUGCUAGUGAACUGGCCCAACCACUGCUCCAAGUAAGGGGCACGUGCUGGGCUCACAACGGAAGACAAGUUCACACUGUCUCCUGAUCCAGGGGUCGAGAGAUGGAAGCUCCUCGGGGUGGGGUCCUCAUCCCACUCGCUCACCUGGCCGACGGCUCGGCAACUUCUUGCUUCUUGCCGCCUGCCUGGCCCCACAGCCUUUCACAGCCACCCUCAAAACAGCUUAGCCCUGCCACUCCCUGAAGCCACCCUCCCAAACCCAGUGCUGUGGAAGACUUCUUGGUCUACAUCCCCCCGUCACUUGCCCUUCCACCUCUCCUUGGUGAAAUCCACUGUCCCCACAGGGCCCACACUCCACUCCCGAACGCUGGCCGCACCUCCUCCCACCUCCCUCAACACAAAGGGAGGGGUCAGGUCACCCUGAGGCCCUGGCCUCACUCCUCAAGCAUCAGUGGACAGCAGAAAUAUGAUGCAAGCCACAAUGCAAACACACAUAUAAUUUAACAUUUUCUAAUAGCCACAUUAAAAGACUAUCAGACAAUUAGUAAAAAAGAC